rnacentral:pre_miRNA from 1 species
AAUAGGAAGAGCAAGAAAAGAGGGCCUUGGAACAGUGGGCACGUGAACAUGAUGGAAGGCUAAAGGUCUCACAUCUAAGUUCCUCGUGCAACACUGAAAGAGGCUUUCGUUGAGUUUUCUUGAUGCCUCUCGUGCCUAUUGUUCUUUGGUACUAUUUACUUUCCCUUUUCGGU